AUGCCCAAGAGGAAGGUCAGCUCCACUGAAUGGGCCACAGAGGAAGAGCCCAAGAGGAGAUCGGCACGCUUAUCAGCUGAACCUGCUCCUGCAAAAGUGGAAACGAAGCUGAGAAAGCAGCAGGAAAGGAUAAAUCUUCAGACAAAAAAGUGCAAACAAAAGGGAAAAGGGGAGCAAAGGGGGAAAAGUCAGAAGUGGCUAACCAAGAAACUGAAGAUUUACCUGCAGAAAACAAGAAACUAAAACUGAGGAGAGCCCCUUUGAAGUGUCAGUGCUUUUUUUUAGGAGGUGAAA
rnacentral:lncRNA from 1 species